rnacentral:lncRNA from 1 species
CAGAUGCUGGGGCUGUGCGCUCUCGCUCCCCUGCAGAUGCAGAUGCUGGGGCUGUGCGCUCUCGCUCCCGGGUAGAUGCUGGGGCUUGCGCUCUCGCUCCACUGUAGACGCUGGGGCUGUGCGCUCUCGCUCCCAGGUAGAUGCUGGGGCUGUGCGCUCACGCUCCCGGGUAGAUGCUGGGGCUGUGCGCUCUCGCUCCCCUACAGAUGCAGGUGCUGGGGCUGUGCGCUCUCGCUCCCCUGCAGAUGCAGGUGCUGGGGCUGUGCGCUCUCGCUCCCCUGCAGAUGCCAGCGGCUACUUCCUAUCGCGCUUUCUCGAAUCAACGACCAGGCGGUUGUAAGCACCGAGAGCAGCCCGAGGCCACAGGGCCCCCUUCCCUGCGCGGUCCUGGGCCCUGCACACCGCGAACCCCACCGUGGCCCCGCCGCGCCCCCGCGCCCCGUCUCGGUGCUGCCGGCGGUGGAGAGGCCCGUGGUUGCGGCUGGAGCCUGCAGCUCCGCCGGCGCCUCCCGGGGCCCGGGCCUCCCCCUCCUCCCGCCAGCGGCUGCGGCCGCCCGUCCGCUGACCCGGGGGCACGUCGCCCGGAUCAAGGGCUCACCGGGCGGCACGGGGCCGUUCUCCGAUUCCACCGGCCCUGCGCUCGUGGCGAACGGCAGCCCCGCAGCCGCCGGGCACGCGCUCAACGGCCUGUCUGUAAUCACGCGUGUCCCGGGCCCACGCGGGCUCCGGCAGGGCCAGGCGACACGGCCAGCGCCCCGCCCGGCCGCUAAGCGGCGGUGUCCGCGGCCCCGGCAGAG